rnacentral:misc_RNA from 1 species
CUGCUUAAUUGUAGUCUGCCGAUGUAUUUUUCAAACCCAUUUACCUAAUACUGAUCUAUACUCCAAAAACGAAAGUUUAUGGUUUUAAUCUAUAACAACUUUCAGCAGUGGAUGUCUAGGCUCGCACAUCGAUGAAGAACGCUGCAAACUGCGAUACGUAAUGCGAAUUGCAGAAUUCAGUGAGUCAUCGAAAUUUUGAACGCACAUUGCACUUUCGGGUUAUGCCUGGAAGUAUGCCUGUAUCAGUGUCCGUACAUCAAACUUGCCUUUCUUUUUCUGUGUAGUCAGGGAGAGAGAUGGCAGAAUGUGAGGUGUCUCGCUGGCUCCCUUUUCGGAGGAGAAGACGCGAGUCCCUUUAAAUGUACGAUCGCUCUUUCUUGUGUCUAAGAUGAAGUGUGAUUCUCGAAUCGCGGUGAUCUGUUUGGAUCGCUUUGCGCAUUUGGGCGACUUCGGUUAGGACAUUAAAGGAAGCAACCUCUAUUGGCGGUAUGUUAGGCUUCGGCCCGACGUUGCAGCUGACAGAGUGUGGUUUUCUGUUCUUUCCUUGAGGUGUACCUGAAUUGUGUGAGGCAAUGGUCUGGGCAAAUGGUUGCUGUGUAGUAGGGUUUUGCUGCUCUUGGACGCCCUGUUUUCGGAUAGGGUAAA